UGCGUAACAGCUCACUGGUCGAGUGGACAUGCGCCGACAAUACACGGGGCUAAGCUGGACACCGAAGCGGCGGGAUUUUAAUUCAUUAGAAUCGGUAGGGGAGCUUCCCAUGGGCGGAGAAGCCGGAGGGCGACCGACGGUGGAGCGCAUGGGAGUGAGAAUGCUGGCAUGAGUAGCGAGAGACGAGAGAGUAACUCGUCCGCCGUGAACCCGAGGUUUCCUGGGCAAGGCUAAUCCUCCCAGGGUCAGUCGGGGGCUAAGGCGAGGCCGGGAGGCGUAGCCGACGCGCAGCAGGCAGACAUUCCUGCACCGCGCACGCGGCGCUACGACCGACGGGGCGACGGAUGGGGGUGGCUCGGCGGGGUUCUGGACGUCCCCGUGAUGGAGCGCGGCCCGCGGACCAGGGAAAUCCGGUCCGCACGAGGGCGAGGCUCCGGACGAAGCGAUUGAGCGAAGCGAGUGAGCCCGAGGUCCCUAGAAAAACCCCUAGGCAGGCGCGUGCGCGCCCGUACCGCAAACCGACACAGGUGGGUGGGUAGAACAUACCGAGGCGAUCGGGUCAACCAUGGUCAAGGAACUCGGCACAAUGGCCCCGUAACUUCGGGAGAAGGGGUGCCCGCGCGUACGUGAACCGGCUCGCCCGGGGAGCGGAGGCGGGCCGCAGUGGAGAGGCCCAAGCGACUGUUUACCAAAAACACAGGACUCUGCAGAAGCCGCAAGGCGACGUAUAGGGUCUGACGCCUGCCCGGUGCCGGAAGGUCACGCGGAGGAGUUAGCCGUCUCGGCGAAGCCCCGAAGCCAAGCCCCGGUAAACGGCGGCCGUAACUAUAACGGUCCUAAGGUAGCGAAAUUCCUUGUCGGGUAAGUUCCGACCUGCACGAAAGGCGCAACGACUUGGGCGCUGUCUCGACCAUGGACCCGGUGAAAUUGCACUGGUCGUGAAGAUGCGACUUACCCGCGGAAGGACGGAAAGACCCCGUGAACCUUCACUGCAGCUUGGCAUUGGCCGCUGGUCCCGCGUGUAGAGGAUAGGCAGGAGGCACAGAUCCGGAGGCGCCAGCCCCCGGGGAGCCGCCCUUGGAAUACUGCCCUCGCGCGACCGGCGUCCUAACCCGAGGCCGUCAACCGGCUCGGGGACCGUGCCAGGCGGGCAGUUUGACUGGGGCGGUCGCCUCCUAAAGGGUAACGGAGGCGCGCGAAGGUCCGCUCGGGACGGUCGGCAACCGUCCUUUUGAAUGCAAGAGUACAAGCGGGCUUGACUGCGAGGCCCACAAGCCGAGCAGGUGCGAAAGCAGGCUCUAGUGAUCCGGCGGCCCCGAGUGGGUGGGCCGUCGCUCAACGGAUAAAAGGUACUCCGGGGAUAACAGGCUGAUCUUGCCCAAGAGUCCACAUCGACGGCAAGGUUUGGCACCUCGAUGUCGGCUCAUCGCAUCCUGGGGCUGGAGCAGGUCCCAAGGGUACGGCUGUUCGCCGUUUAAAGCGGUACGCGAGCUGGGUUCAGAACGUCGUGAGACAGUUCGGUCCCUAUCCUCCGUGGGCGCAGGAGAAUCGAUGGAGGCUGCCCCCAGUACGAGAGGACCGGGGUGGACGCACCUCCGGUGAACCGGUUGUCGACCAACGGCACGGCCGGGUAGCCGCGUGCGGCGCGGAUAACCGCUGAAGGCAUCUAAGCGGGAAGCCGUUCCAGGGAUUAGUUCUCCUUCCGGUAAGGGCCCAGGUAGACUACCUGGUCGAUAGACGGCAGGUGCAAGGACGGCGACGUCCUCAGCCGAGCCGCACUAAUCGCCCGAGCUCUUCCGGA
rnacentral:rRNA from 1 species